AACGCACAUUGCGCCCCUUGGUAUUCCAUGGGGCAUGCCUGUUCGAGCGUCAUUUGUACCCUCAAGCUCUGCUUGGUGUUGGGUGUUUGUCCACUCCGUUGUGUGUGGACUCGCCUUAAAGCAAUUGGCAGCCAGUGUUUUGGUAUUGAAGCGCAGCACAUUUUGCGAGUCUUGCCUGUAAUGCUAGCGUCCAGUAAGCCUUUUUCCACUUUUGACCUCGGAUCAGGUAGGGAUACCCGCUGAACUUAA
rnacentral:misc_RNA from 2 species